GCGUCGGUGGUUCAGUGGUAGAAUACUCGCCUGCCACGCGGGAGACCCGGAUUCGAUUCCCGGCCGACGCA
rnacentral:tRNA from 1 species